GGCCUCGUAGCUCAGUUGGCUAGAGCGUUGGCUGUACUAAAGCCUUGCCCUUGCUGGCGUGGGUUCAAAUCCCACCAAGUUUU
rnacentral:tRNA from 1 species